rnacentral:rRNA from 1 species
UACGAAGGUGGCAAGCGUUGUUCGGAUUUACUGGGCGUACAGGGCGCGUAGGCGGUUGGAUAAGCCCUCCGUGAAAUCUCCAGGCUUAACCUGGAAAGUGCAGAGGGGACUGUUCAGCUAGAGGAUGGGAGAGGAGCGCGGAAUUCCCGGUGUAGCGGUGAAAUGCGUAGAGAUCGGGAGGAAGGCCGGUGGCGAAGGCGGCCAUCUGGACGGUAACUGACGCUGAGACGCGAAAGCGUGGGGAGCAAACAGG